GUUCCUUGGAAAAGGACAGCUGAGAGGGUGAGACUCCCGUCCGCCUGGUAGAAUGAGUCUUUGUCAACGAGUCGAGUUGUUUGGGAUUGCAGCUCUAAUUUGGUGGUAAAUUCCAUCUAAAGCUAAAUAUUGGUGGGAGACCGAUAGCGUACAAGUACCGUGAGGGAAAGAUGCAAAGAACUUUGAAAAGAGAGUUAAAGAGUACCUGAAAUUGCUGAAACGGAAGCGAAGGAAACCAGUGUUUGUUGGUUCAUAUUUCCCUGGCCACUUGUGGUUUGGGCGCUGUGAGCUUGCGUGGGUUUGCUUUGGUUGAUCCCUUUGGAAGAGCGCAGUCAGAGUUGAUGUCU
rnacentral:rRNA from 1 species